UCAAACUUGGUCAUUUAGAGGAAGUAAAAGUCAUAACAAGGUUUCUGUAGGUGAACCUGCAGAAGGAUCAUUAAAGAAUUUUUAGGGUUAGAUCUCGAUCUUCCCGAACCUUCUAUUUAUCCUAAACACCUGUGCAUUUGUGUUGUGUUCCCGCAAGGGAAUCUCACACACAAACAUUUUUAUCACACAAAACUCUAUGUUUUUUGAACGUUUAAAAUAAUUAAAAAAUAAAAGUAUAACUUUUGACAACGGAUCUCUUGGUUCUCCCAUCGAUGAAGAACGCAGC
rnacentral:misc_RNA from 1 species